UUUUUUUUUUUUUUUUUGGCAAUUAGCUGUUCCUGCUCAGCAUUUUCAAAGCCUAUUUGUAGGUUUUGACGCGUAGUUUUGAGUUGCACCAGCGCUGCACUGAGCGGCACUGGAGGAGUUUCGGAGACUUCUUCCCAGCCGGUCUGCUGCGUUUCUUGUUGCUAAUUCCCUUGCAUUCCAGGCACAAUGACCCUCUGUUUCUUUUAAGCUUUCUUCAGCGCCAACAUCUAAAUUACCAGCUCCACAGCAGGCAGAAUCCCCGUCUGUUUCCUCCUUUGAAAUGUUUAUCUUUGCACCUACUAACUUAGGUUCAUAUUCUUGAACAAUGAGUUUGGGAAACCAUUCUUUCCUUUUGAACCUUUUUUUUUCUUCUUCUAGAAUUCUUGUAAUUGCCAUAUUGUAGAUUUCCCCCCCUCUCUUUGCUCUCUCUAAAGCCAAUUUUUCAAACAUCAGUGAUUCAGAUUGAUUGGCUUGACUAAAAAAGUCCAGUGCAUUGCAAUUAGGAGAAAAUAACUCCUCCCUGUGUUUUCUGUCCAUUCCUAGAAUUUGUUUCCUAUCAAAUGAAAACAAAACAAAACAAAAAACAAUAUCUUUACACUUUAAUUUGAAUAAUUAUUUUUAUUAUAUUUGAAUACCUUUCUUUGCAGUUCUCAUAUAAGCCUGCAGUAGGAAACUUGCACCACCAAAGUGGUUGAAUUCAAUCUUAGUAAGUGUAUUAGCAAUGUUACCUCAUACUAAACUGGACAGGAGCUUAGCUGUAUUUUAGCUGUUGGUGUGAUAUUAAAGCUGUUGGUAUGUUAUUAGUUUGUUGGAGGAAACAUUUUAGAAUUAUAUCUUUUUAAACCAAAAAAAUGUGUAUUUAAGUCAUGCAUUAAGCAAAACUUAGUUUUUAAAUAAAGUAAGCUUUAUACAACCUUUAUUUAAAAUGUUUACAUUUAUGGACAGAGGACUACAAACUAUGUUAGCUCUAAACUCACUUCUUCGUGUAAUCUCAUCACCACUCAACCUCUUCAAAGGUUCUUUGUUUUAACAUUUGUGCUGGGAUCUGACUAUAUGAAACUCUGCUGUGAUAUAGGUGCUCAGUGUUAUUUAAGAACUGUGGAGGUGUCAGACCUUAUUAUGGUGCAUUACUAAAAAGCUACACGUAGUAUAAAUAGGCAAUAUAUACUGCUUCUGGUAACCCUGACAAUUGCCCUUUAAUGCUGACCUACAAGAUUCCUGAUAUUCCAGUCAUAGUCCUUUCUUUGCAUACAAACUGAGCAGACACACAGUUAUGCAGAAUCAUAUAAGUUUUCCAAGAGAAGCAAAUGUCUGUAGGAAUUUUGAUGGUAUCUCCAAAUGCAUAUCACCAAAACCAAAAUCAGAACACAAGUCAAAGUCUGUAGGAGUAGAAAAUUUAAAGUACCUCAUUUACUCAUGACCACUUGUUCAGCUAUGUUUCAUUGCACCGUAACUUCUGAAUCGAGGAGAUGAAACACGGUUUACUUGCUGUUAAAAAUAUAGCAAAUUUUAUCUGGAUCUACAUUAAAGUCCCAUAGGAACAACAGCAUGGGGUGAAAUAUGUAAACAAAGGAUUAUGGUGAAAGUUUGUUCUCAAAAUUGGAUAAUCUAAGCAUCAUUUAAAAUUUUAUAAUCAGUGUAAAAUAGAUGUGAACAAGAUCUUUGACACAGGGUUAUGUUUGUAGAUGAGGAAAGGUAAUUACUAAAUGAUAAAAGCUGUAGUAUUUCAUUAAACUGAAAUCAAGCAAUUGUGCAGUAAUGAGUUCAGAGAUGCUUUAUUAUAUGUCAAGGAUGAAUAGAAUAUGUUAUGAGUACAAACGAAUUGAAAAACAAAUGCUGCAGAGAGGAUGUCUUCUACUUUGGUUUCCAUGUAAACUUUCCACUGACAUUAGAUGAGGGUCAGUGUAAAUUGAAGGAAGUUUGAAGUCCUAAACUUCUGUCCCCGUUGAGUGAGGAUUAAUAAUCAUGGAACCUAUUUUCCCCCACCAUGUGGUUUUGAUCUUCCUGAUCUAGCCGCUGCUAGACAGCAGUGCAGUUGUUUCAGUGAACAGGUAUCUUAGAGCUCGUCACUAUGCUGGGGUCAGCAACUGAGCUAACCUAGAAAGGAGGUUGAAGCCAUACAGGCAAAGAUCUUACUGAUCAUAAGAAAAUGACAGCUUCACCUAAAGUCGUCCUUCUAGAACAAGACUGAUGUGCACAAAGACUGUGUGUAACAGAAAUUUGCAGGCUCUCUAGAGUGAGGAGCCGUCAUCUUCAGGGCUACUAGAUGGGAAUUUGCAAGAGUGGUGCACUCAUGUAACAAGUGAGAAAAAAAAUGCAGUCGUACAAAGGAAAAAAACAGCAAAAGGAAGAAAGAAGGAAAAAAAAAGACAAGAAAGAAAGGGUGGAAGGAAAAAGAAAAUGUAAAUGCUAUUUAUUUGUUCAUUAUAAUGUUAAGCUUUGAAUCACUCCAAUUGUAUACCUCAAAACUCAAAUCCAAACUUUGGAAACUUAGAAUUUCUGACUACGUUACCAAUAAAUACAAUAAGCAAUGACACGUUUGUUUCAUAAUAAAAGUAUGCUGACUUCCAAUGCAUCAAAUAAACCAACACCAAACCAUAAAUUUGCAUUUAACUAAACACUGAAGGUUGAAUUUUCAAACACGCUGAGGAUGCAAUAUUGUAUAAGGAGAAGGAGUACUUCUGAUUUCCAACCACCACUGUCAGCUGAACUUUUCAGUAUCCUUCCCUGUUCAGACUCCAGGCAUUGCUUGAUGCUAAAGUCAGCCAGUUCAGCUCACUGAUCUAAAAUUACCUUUGGAGGUGUGCUCUUUUCUAACAGGUCACCAAUGUGAACCAACUCACCCCAUACAUGUGUGAGCACUCGGGGCAGGAAUAAGCAGAUGCAAGAUGGAAAGAGACUGUAAAAGAGUGACAGAACCAGCCGUUGUAUUGCCAUCCUGCUUCAACAUUGAACUGGGCAGAAAGGGAACUGCCCUAAGCACCAACCUGAUUCUGCCAACGUGAUAUGCCAGAGGGACCUCAGAAGGAAAUUAACUGUUGAUCUCAAAAUCCUGGAUAUCUGUCAAAUAAAUCACUCUCAUGCUCAUGUGUGUGAGGCUGAAUAUACAGCAUGAUCUACAGUUUUGAGUCCUACCAUCAAAACCUAAAGUUCCUGCCAGUUAAGGUAAACUGGCUCCUGAGGUGGUGCAAGUCCUGUAUGGUUGAUGCAGGACCCACCUGGCCAUUGCUCCACCAAUUUUCCAACAGCUCUCCAGCAAGAUGUCGAUGUCCCUAACUCUGUUACUGCAACUGCAUUGGUCACAGCCUUCAUCUCUGGGACUGGCAGCCUGUCCUCCCAGGCUUGCACUAAAAAUUGACUUUCUUACCUUAUAUAUACAAUACCUCUGAGCUAAACUGGUAAGUAGGGGGGCAGGAGAGGAGGGAAGGAGAAAUUCAUGGUUUCCUGCUUCAGCCUGGUCUCAGAGGAAGUCAUUGUUUCCUGCAGCUUGGGUAGGGGAACAGUACAAAGCAGCUGCGUAACUGCUUCAAGACAGAGAUCUAUUUAGAUAAGCCAAAAGCUGGGUAUGACUGAGCAAAGAGCAGUACUGAACAUGGCUGUAAAGGACACUACUAGUCCUACCACCGCAUCAGAAGCUGCCAGAUCUGCCCAUGCUAUGUAGCGGUAUUUAUGUGUCUGCUCUCAUGCCAGAUAAUCCCACCACCACCUCGCAAGAACAUGGUGUAUCCACAAUCAACCCCUGCGUUUGUGGAGUCUCCUCUUCUCAUCUAAUGACAAGGACGUUGCAGAAGGGAACAGAGGGGGUGCAGACCUCUCUGAUAAGAGGUGACUGUUUGUGACCUAGAUAAGUUUGACCUAGGCAUAACAAAAGAGGAGAGAAGCACUCAGCUUCAACAUUUACUUAGUCAAGGAUGGAAUUAACAGCUUGAUAGAAUGAAGGACCUCCAACUUGCAUCAAGUAGUGCCUUCCUUUUGGUCUUGGAAAAAUCAGCAUCGCAACUUGAGAACAGAGGGUUGAAUUCUUUGAAGGGGAGGGAGGAUAUGGGAGCCAUAAAAUAUCUUAAAAAUACUCUAUCUUGUUUUCCAGGGAAGAUUUAGACAGCUGUGGUAUACGUUUCAGUACAAAAAAGCAUUCAAUUGCAAACUGCAAUAUUUAUGUUGGGAAACGCAUCCUGCUGUUGCCUUCUGUAAGCAAAAUGUCUUUAUUCUGAUGCACACUUUAAGAGAAAGAGAGAGAGAGAGCAUCACGGAUGCUUCUGCCUGCCUCAUGAGAAUUUGGCUAAAAAGGGAAAAUGAGAACAUGAGGCAAUCCCCUGACAAGUGCCAUGAAGCUUUUCUGAAUCAGAUUUUUUCAAGUUUCGCAAAUCAAAUUUUUAUUUUUUUUUCAAUAGGAAACUAAACAGAACUCCAACACUUGCUUAGAGAUAAUACACUUUUAACGGAACAUUUUACAUUGGGAAAUACCUAAUUUUCUAUCUUUAUAGGAUGUAAUCAGUCUUACUCCUAAAGCACAGAAGACAGAUGCUGCGCCACAGGGUCCAGCGCUUAGCAUAGAUAAACAAGUCAGGUGUCUUAUCUCAGCCUCCAGUAUCCCUGAACGACUCUCCUCCAUUCCAGCCCAUCUCACUCCCAAUACAACCUCAUGUUUGAUCACUUCCCCAUCUCAUACAGCCCCACUCCAAGACUUCUCCGGCUUCGUGCAGAGUUUUUCACCCAGUAGCUGCUAUUGCUCUCACUAGGACCUUUAAAACUACUUCAGACUACUUAAACAUGGAGGCGGGAGGGGAGAUCAACCUCCAGCUUUCUUCCAUUACAGUACUGAUUUUAUUCGGGGCAUGAUAAUGUAAAGCCACAAAUUCCAACAAUUAGACACUGGGCUGUAUCUUCUCCUUAAAGAGUCAUCUUGUAAUAGAAACAUGUAUAAAAACUGGAACAACAAUGCAGGAAUAUUAAAAAGAUACAGUAUUAAAGCCAACAAUACUUAGUAUAAAUAAUUUUAUUUUACGAAUGAGAGACACGUUUAUAAGAAAUGUGUGUAUUUCCUUCUUGAAAAAUUCCAAAGAUGGACUUUGGAAAACUAUUAAGUUUCCUAACAGAUAUUCAGUUUUCAUUAGUCUUUUUGUAAGAGUAAAGGGUCCCUAAGAGCUAUGAUUUAACUGGAAGAAAAUAUAACAGUUUUGAGUGUUUCUCAAUAAAAUUGCAAAUAUCUAGUAAAGCCCUUUUUAAAAGACACUAGUGAAUUAAUUAAAAAAAAAAUCUAUAGCUAGAUAUUAAAAUAAUGUUAGAUUUUUGUUGUGUGGUGAUCCUUAAUUAUUUCAAUGCUAAGAGCUAUUGCAGGACUAAUUCUGUGACUUUAUGAGCAGAUAUUUGUUAAUGUUUGGAUAUUCUAACAAUUUAUUUAAUGAUAUCUUCUUUCCUCAACUUUAAUCUUAACUACAUUUUAACAAAGCAUGCAACUUAAGUUCUGCUGCACAAAAUACCCUCCAUGCCUUAACAAACUUUAGGGUCCUUUAACUGCCUUUUUAUACAGAAUUUUAGGCUGGGAGGAACAAAAGGAUGCACUUUUCACGACCCUGGAACCCUGUGACCACUGGGAAAUCAAAAGGGUGGUGACACGAAGGAAAACUAUUGUCCACAAAAAUAAGCUCUUCAAGGGGCACCAGGAAUGCACAAUAAAAUCCCAGUUUCCUUUGUGUAGCUGUUUAUGCCUAUGUCUUGCAUCAUGCAAAAGCUCAAUAAAAGAUCUAAACUAAAAAGGAAUCUGGGUUUCUAAGAAAAAUCCAU